UUCUUCUCCCUACACCUAUUGCAGCUGCUCCCUCGGUCAGUCACAAACGACUUCGCGGACAAUUCAGUCUUGCCUCGAUUUUCUAGCGACUCAGCCAAUACUGAACAUGAUCCUCAAGAGCUCUCGUUUGGACCUGACUUGCUCGAAGACGUGUCGGCGUGUGUCUCAUAAUUGCUAGGCCAUGCCUCAAUUGCCUGCGAGGGCAUUUCUUGUACAGACCUUACUCUCCGUACAGUUCUCCAAUUUCCAUCACUGCAUCUUGAUGCGUCUUUAGGAGACGUAUAAUCAUACCUUGCUCACCCCAGCCUAUGAUUAUACCUAUUAAAGAAGGUGAUGGAUUAUUGGGAAUCUAACCCUAACCUAGUCGGUUCAGUGUUAGCAGCAGCACAAGUUUCACGGCCUCGCAUGGCGGAGUUAUUGAUUAGUUUAUUGAUUCUUGGAGGGAUCGAUAAACGAAAGGUAUCCGAUGUCCAGAGCCUGUAAUGGGCAACAAAAGACGGUUUACUAUGCGUUUUAAGUUCCGGAAUGGGACACGCGUCGGUUUACCAAUGCUGGGCGUUACAUGCUGACCAAGAUGGAUGGUUUGUCGAUGCCUUAGUGCUGGAGAUUCUAGGGAGAGAGUAGGUGGAGCAUGUCGGGCCUCUCGUUACAGAGUACGGCCUUUGGGAGCUUUUAUGAACGGCAAUGCAUGGGAUGUCUGGAGACUACCCUCAAAUUGCGGCGGAAUUCAUUACUAUUGCUCGGUGAUCAUCAUGAACGCAACAAUCAGUCCUCGGACGCGCCUACAAACACUCAUGAAGUCAGUACGUCGGAAGCAAUCCGCUCGUCGGAAUCAUUGUGAUGUCUUGAUAGUGCCCAGGUGCUACCUUAGGAAUCACAUUGUAGCGAGGUUCUUCCGCACUACUGGAUGGACUGAGUUGAUCAGGAUUGCUCUUUGAGUGACGCUGUCAGAAUCCUUGGCUUGUUGUCUAGUUCCGGCGCAUGAUUCACCGUCAAUGAGUAAUGGUCUCGCCUCUGCAAUGGUCGCCUAUCUAUUCCUUCCGCUAUCCGUUCUGCUAUCCCGUGCAUGCUCCCAACCCGGGGAGCCUGGGCAACCCGUACCUACUUUCGAACUCUUGUCUCUUGCCAUGUCUUGGCUUGCAAACCUCGGGUCCCGGCACCAGCCACCGACUCGAACUUGACUCAAAGAUCCAGGUCGACCGUGUUAACCAUCUCUUUGCAAUGUAGAUUGCAAAUAGAUUGAUGGGCGCCGACAAUGACGAUGGGCCUCCCUUCGUCGUCCCUCCCUUCGGGGAGAAGGAAGCGGUUUUUGCGGAUGUUCUUUGUUCGCUUCUACAACGCCCUCCAAUGUCUGUUCGACGCGGAGAGGAAACAAAAACUUGUCUCAGAGAGUACUGUACCCCGCACUAGGUUUAGGUCUCAGCAUGUUGUCCUUAUGAACACACGGAUGGCAUGUUCGAGAGCGAAUUGGGAGAUGGAAAGCUUUGAUUAUGGUCAGGCCGAGUAACGCGGGAAAACAUGGGGUCGGAUGAACGUCGCCAAGGGUGUGAGACUGUCCGAUGUCGCUUGCUGCGUUCAUUGAGCUUCGACUUUGUAUUGCUGUUCAACACUCUAUGCUCUAGCAUCUUGCAAUCUUGGUGACUUGCCAUUGCCAUUCUAUGUCUUGGAAGCCGGCAAUCGCCUCGAUUGAAGCUCACCAACGCUCUCCUCUCGUUUGCGUGUUCUUGCUUCGUCCAUCAUGCGACCCGGCUGCCCGUUCAACAUAUCUCUUGCAUACAAUGCAGUUGUUGACAGGAGGCGUCUGUGGGACCUCACAAUGGUGGGGAUCAAAGCUUAGGCUUGUCUACUUGGCCUCUAUACUGUUCACAUUUGCUUCUGCGGAGACUUUGGCGACUGAGUAGCUGGUCCUGGGCGUGUGGGACAUCAACGAAGAGAACGUGUAUGUCCUUCGAUCGGUAAAUGGCAUUUGUGCGUGGGCACCAGGAUCGGGCUAUUGUGCGAGAAGCUUGCUGCGAGUUCUGGAUCAAAAGGUGCCGAACAUCUGCAGGUCGAUUACCGCUCGUGAACCGCCGCCUUUCCUCGGGGAGGCGGCCCCUAUUUUUUCU
rnacentral:telomerase_RNA from 1 species